rnacentral:lncRNA from 1 species
AAAACUCCUCCAUAAGGGAGCAAGAGCUAUGCAGCCUGCAUGAGUCAGCCUCCCCAACCACAGAGGUGGAACUGGGAGGAAAGGGUCCAGGUCAGACUAACCCAGGACUAGCACAGAACUCCAGGCUGCCACAGCACGGCUUGAUGAGCAGUGUGUAGGUCUGUGCUUGGGAUCUGAACCUGUGAACCCUGGGCCACCGAAGCAGAGUGCCUGAACCUAACCACUACACCACCAGGCUGGUCACUCAUUCUAUAAUUUUGAAGGAAUUACAACAGAUAUCCACCAUUUGACUUCCUGUAAGUCUCAUAAGGUUGCCACUCAAAAGACCUCACUUGCUCUCCAGUGAAAGAGCUGUACACACCACCUGAGCAAGGCCAGCGAGACCGACUCUCCCAAGAAGAUGAACUAUCCAUGAACCCAGAUGGUCCUUUGUGACUUUCUCGACUAACAGAGCACAGGAGAAGUGACACGAUAUGACUUCUGAGGCUAGCUUAUACAAAUGUCAUGCAUUUCUACCUCGUGCUUUGAGGAUACUCGCUGUUGCAACCCAGUCACCGUGCUGUAAAGAAGCCCAAACAGCUACUUGGAGAGACAUCGGGUACCACAGAGCCUCACCCAAGAUCUCAGCUGACAGCCAGCAUCAACCGCCAGACAUAUGAGUGCACAAGCUUUCAAAUGAUUCCAGCCUUCAGCCGCCAAGUCACCCUCAGGCUUUGAGCCCUUUCCAGCUGAGGUUCCAGACAUCCUGGAACAGAGACAAGGCAUCCCCACUGAGCCCUUCCUGAUUUCUGAUACACAGAAUCCAUAAACACAAUAAGAUGGUUGUUAUUUAUACUGCUGUGUUUAGGCUGGUUUGUUACUCAACAGUAGUAACUGGAAUGGGUCAUCACUGGAGAAGAGAAUGAAGAAUGAGACCUGGAGGAGUCCUAAUAUAUUAAGAUUUGCCAAGGGGCUGCAAUCCCUCACCUGAACUCCUUGGAUCCUGUGAAGUACCACCACCCUCGCUUCUGUAUCUCACGGUGUCAAAGAGCUCUCACCACAGCGUAUCACCAAGCCUUUACCUGGGAAUUGUGUGUAUCCAUCUCCAGCCAGUGGCAGGGCUGGGAAUACCAUUUGGCAAUGUGUUGCUGUGAAGGAAACAAAGUGAUCAAAUAAAGAAUGACUGAAGGGAGGGGUGGAAAGUGACCUGUGUUAGAAAUCACAACAGAAAACGCCUCUAGGAUGAGGUGGCAUUAAAGCUGAAACAAGAGGAUGAGAAGAAGCAAACCUGAAAAAGAGGAAGAAUAACACCAAUGCAAGAAGCAACUCCCUACCCAAAAGCCCACAGUGGGUAACCUUAUAGCAUACCUGGCUGAACGGUUGAAUACCAGUGUGGAGGAGGUAGACAUAACAUACAGUUGGGCAGAUCUUUAUAGGGACCAGAAUCCACAAGCCUAAGAGAUUUGAUUUUAUUUUAGAUGCAAGUGAAAGCUAUUAAAUGGUUUUGAAAAGAUAGCUGAAAUGAUCAGAUUCAUGUGGGAUACCAGGCUGUUUGAGUAGAACAAGGGAGAAAGAACAGUGGCGUACACUAAGAUGGCAAUGAGUAUGGAGAAAUAGAUAUAAAAUAUAUAUGUGUGUGUACAUACGUCUAUAUACACGCACACUUUGAGACAGAUUCCAGAAAACGUAAUGAUACAGUCUGGGCAGAAAGUGAGGAAAAGUAGGGACUCAGGGACCGUGCCUAGGUUUUUGUUUGAAGUUAGCAUGUGAACAGUUAGAAUGGAACAGUUUGGAAGGUGGAAUUAUUGAAGUUUUCAUUUAGACAUCGUAAUUGUGGAGACGUCAACCAGUGUUUCUCAAACUUCCCCAAUGAACAGAAUCAUCUGGGGAGCUUAUUACAUAUAUGGAUUAUCAGGUUUUCUGCUGGAAAUUCUGGAUCGGUAGGUCCGAGUUGAGCACAAAGUACUGGAUUUUCUUCACUCUCGGUGGGUAAUAUGCAGCUACCAAAAGAAAGAGAAUGAGGAAGAUCUCUAUCAACUGAUAUAGAGCAAUUUCCAAGAUAUGUUAAAGGCAAAAUUCAAAAGAGUAUCUAUGGUAUGCUAUUUUUCAUGUAGGAAGAAGGGACUAUAAGAAAAUACACACGUAUCUGUGCAAAAAAGAAAUGCAGGAAGGAUAAACCAGAAACCAGUGCAACUGAUUAUCUACAGGAAGCAGAUGGGAACUGGGAGGAAAGGAAGGAAGGACGGGAAUGGUGUAGAAGGGACGAGAAAGAGAUGAUACCUAAGUAUACCUUUCUGUAUACUUUUGAUUAAAACUGAACAGUUUUCACAUACCCAAGUAAAUAAUUAAAAUCAAGAAGCAUUUGGAAGGAUCCCAAAAUGGAACACAAACAGUAACAGGUGAACCUAACUUUACUACAAACACAUUAACAAAAUCACACUGGAGGAAGGGGGAAGAACUAACCUCGGAAAGAACUUUGGAAAAUAGUAUUUUAAUAUAGUGCAAAUAACCAUACACUUAAUAUAUACUACUAAUAAUAUUUAAUAAUAUUAAUAAUACAUUUAUAACUAAUCAUCAUAAUAAGGCUAAAGACAGAAAGAAUUGUACACAGAUAUUGAACUUGUUAGUAAAUUUAUUUUUCACAGGGGCAGAAGUUAACGAUUUUUAAAUAUUUUAUGUGUAUUCUAGAACUGAGCAAAUACAUAAAUGGAUUGUAGAUAAUGAGAAUCAGGUUUCUAAUUGUUAAAGAAAGGAGUUACAAGUAAGUAUAAGGUAAAGGAGGCUAGAAUAAACCCUAUGGUGUUGGAUUGGAAUCAAGGUAUCAGUUUGAACUCAUUCUCAAUUUGAACUCGUGUGUGUGUGUGUGCGCGCGCACGCAUGUGAACACACCCGGACUGAUACAUACAAAAAUAGAAGGAGAUAUUUGUACGUGUGGAUGUAUUCAGAUAUAUUUUCUUAGCUCUGUCUGCUGAAAGGGCAAUGGGGAAGCCUGGGUAGCAAUGAGUACACCUCAUACCAAGAUGCUGGUUUGUAAAUACCAUUAUUUAAGGCAAGGAAUAACAACUCCAUGGAGAAAUGACUGAUCCAAGGCUAGGACAGGGGAAAGUAAAAGAUGGGUCUGGAGCAUUUUUUGUGGUGCCAGAAAGUAAGCUACUACUCAAAAAAUUAUAUGGCUAUGUAGCAAAAACAAGAAAGACAGCUUGAAGGAGUACCAAUCACCAAAUCUGGAACAAUUUGAGAGACAAAAUAAUUAAUGCUAGUGAUGGCUUUUAACCCAUAGAACAAAAUAAAUAUCCACAAGUUUAUACCGAUAUAUGUAAAUAAAUAACCGAAUAAACGCAUAAACGAAGGAGAAGGAACAGCUCUUCGUUACAAUCAGAUCAUAGUUAAUAAAUAUAGAAGGAAUCAUGGAAAUAGAUGAUGAUCAUUUGCAGUAAUUAUUGGAGUCAGGAAUUAUUAAUGGAUACUAAAAUUGGUGUGGGGAAAAGAAACAAGAGCAGAAAUAUUUGAGCAAUCUCAAAUAAUUACAAGGGGAAAAAUAGUAACUUUGCAGUUAUCAUUAUAACCAAGUCAAGUUAGCAUCACCAGUAAUGAAACAUGGAUUUCUUGUGCCUCCUAAUACAGUACACUGAAAAGGACAUAACAUCACUUCUGUGGUAUUCUUGUGAAGAAACACAUAACCUCAGUCUAGCCAUGAGAAAACACCACGGAAACUCAAAUUGAGCAACAUUCUGCAAAAUAACGGGCUAGGAAUCUUCAUUAGUUUAAGGUCAUGAAAGAAAAGAAAGACUGAGGAGCUAUUCUAGAAAAGAAUGAGGAGAUUUGGCAAAUAAAUGCAAUAAAGGAUCCUGGAUUUGAACCUGGACCAGGGGAUCAUAGGAAAUAUUUUCACAUGAGUCUGUUAAUUAGUUAACAGUAUUGUGUCAAUGUAAACCUUCUGGUUUCAAAAUUAUACGGUGGCAAUAUAAUCUGUUAACAUUUGGGAAAGCUGGGUAAAGUGUAUAUGCGAACUCAUGCUGUUAAUGUUUAAAGUUUUUUGGUAAACUAACUCUGAUAAUGCAGUUCUGUGAAAAACUUAGUUUGGAUGUUUCUGAGCCUCUUUUUCGUAUCCCCAUAAAAGAAAGCUCCUCGUUUAGGAAUAAUACUGGUUCAAUGGGGAAGAUAAGAUUUACACAGGUUCAAUCCUAACACUCAGAUAGUAUGGAGUAGGAACAAUCAACUUUGAAUGCCAUUUCGUGACAUUAUAUACUUAAGUGUCAUAAUAAGUAGAAUGCAUAGACUACACAAACUUACAAGUUGAAAAACCAUAGACUCAUAGAAUUGUCUUGUAAUAAAGGCUCUUACUCUUCCAACACCUUAGCUUCAACCUCUGCUAAAAUACUUCAGUGAUAGGGAGUUCAUCAUUUUAAAAUGCAGUCUAUUUUAUUGUUCAAAGGUUCUACUUGUUAAAAUGUUCAUCUUUUUAUCAACCAAAACCUGGUUAAUUGGUCGAAAAUCUUCAGUGUGGAACAGUCUAAUUCCUUUUUCACAGGACAACUCCUAAAAUACUUCAGAACCACCUCCUGGCUCCUUCUGAGUCUUGUCUCACCUCAUCUAUUCCUAGUUCCUUCAGUUACUUCUUAUAUAUCUUAGAUCCCAAACACUUCACUGCACUGAUCACUUUCUUCAGCAUAACUCAUUUGUUCAAUGUGGUACUUUAAGCCUGAAAGGAGUUGUUUACUGUUAUCUGUAAAAAAUUCAGACAUAAAAUUUCCAAUCAGCCAAUAAUGCUUCACCUAACAUGAUCUAUAUACACCACUUGAUAAGCAAAAUUAAAAAUUCCAGAUCAUUUCAUUCGUACAGAGUAAUCUUAGGAUGUCCUUGUCUCUAAUGUGCAGGCAAUGUGAAUUUUCUUUGUGUGCCUCUGUAACUUUGCUCUAUUGCAGGCUACCAGAGGAUGCUCCAGUGAUGCUGCCUAACAGUGAUAUGUAUGUGAUACCUGCUAUGUACUAACAAAUGAGACAUUCAAAGGGAUCCUUUGUUCCCAAGAGACAUAAAUAUACGAAUUUUUAUUCUCUACUUUUUGUGUAUUUCUCAUUUUUAUUAUUCAUCUAUGAGCCCUUAAGUGCAUUCACCAAACUGCAUCAUAAACAUCAAAAUAGAUUACUUCACUUUACCUUUUAUGAGAUUAUUAUACUUAUCCACCAAUAUUUGAGCCCUUAGUCUGGGCAAAUCAUCCUAGCCAGUGAAGUGCAGAGGUUCAGAGCAUGGAG